rnacentral:rRNA from 1 species
CCUACGGGAGGCAGCAGUGAGGAAUAUUGGUCAAUGGCCGUAAGGCUGAACCAGCCAAGUCGCGUGAAGGAAGAAGGAUCUAUGGUUUGUAAACUUCUUUUAUAGGGGAAUAAGGGUAUCCACGUGUGGAUAUUUGCAUGUACCCUAUGUAUAAGCGUCGGCUAACUCCGUGCCAUCAGCCGCGGUAAUAGGGAGGAUGCGAGCGUUAUCCGGAUUUAUUGGGUUUAAAGGGUGCGUAGGUUGUUUUUAAGUCAGCGGUGAAAGUUUGUGGCUCAACCAUAAAAUUGCCGUUGAAACUGGAAGACUUGAGUGUGUUUGAGGGAGGCGGAAUGCGUGGUGUAGCGGUGAAAUGCAUAGAGAUGACGAAGAACUCCGAUUGCGAAGGUAGCUUCUUAAGCAAUAACUGACACUGAAGCACGAAAGCGUGGGGAUCAAACAGGAUUAGAUACCCUUGUAGUC